rnacentral:rRNA from 1 species
CGCGGCCUAUCAGCUUGUUGGUGGGGUGAUGGCCUACCAAGGCGACGACGGGUAGCCGGCCUGAGAGGGCGACCGGCCACACUGGGACUGAGACACGGCCCAGACUCCUACGGGAGGCAGCAGUGGGGAAUAUUGCACAAUGGGCGGAAGCCUGAUGCAGCGACGCCGCGUGAGGGAUGACGGCCUUCGGGUUGUAAACCUCUUUCAGCAGGGACGAAGCGUGAGUGACGGUACCUGCAGAAGAAGCGCCGGCCAACUACGUGCCAGCAGCCGCGGUAAGACGUAGGGCGCGAGCGUUGUCCGGAUUUAUUGGGCGUAAAGAGCUCGUAGGCGGCUUGUUACGUCGACUGUGAAAUCCCGCGGCUCAACUGCGGGUCUGCAGUCGAUACGGGCAGGCUAGAGUUCGGUAGGGGAGACUGGAAUUCCUGGUGUAGCGGUGAAAUGCGCAGAUAUCAGGAGGAACACCGGUGGCGAGGGCGGGUCUCUGGGCCGAUACUGACGCUGAGGAGCGAAAGCGUGGGGAGCGAACAGGAUUAGAUACCCUGGUAGUCCACGCUGUAAACGUUGGGCGCUAGGUGUGGGGGGCCUCUCCGGUUCUCUGUGCCGCAGCUAACGCAUUAAGCGCCCCGCC